rnacentral:rRNA from 1 species
CAGUCGCCGCGGGAAUACGAAGGGGGCUAGCGUUGUUCGGAUUUACUGGGCGUAAAGCGCACGUAGGCGGACUUUUAAGUCAGGGGUGAAAUCCCGGGGCUCAACCCCGGAACUGCCUUUGAUACUGGGAGUCUUGAGUUCGAGAGAGGUGAGUGGAAUUGCGAGUGUAGAGGUGGAAUUCGUAGAUAUUCGCAGGAACACCAGUGGCGAAGGCGGCUCACUGGCUUGAUACUGACGCUGAGGUGCGAAAGCGUGUGGAGCAAACAGGAUUAGAUACCCGAGUAGUCCCUGUCUCUUAUAC